rnacentral:rRNA from 1 species
AUUGAACGCUGGCGGCAGGCCUAACACAUGCAAGUCGAGCGAGCGGCGGACGGGUGAGUAAUGCAUGGGGACUGCCCGAUAGAGGGGGAUAACUACUGGUAACGGUGGCUAAUACCGCAUACUAUCGGAUAACCCAUAUGGGAUUGGCUAGUAGGUGGGGUAAAGGCUCACCUAGGCGACGAUCUCUAGCUGGUCUGAGAGGAUGAUCAGCCAAACUGAGACGGGGACACGGCCCAGACUCCAACGGAGGCAGAAGUGAGGAAUAGUGCACAAUGGGCGCAAGCCUUAUGCAGCCAUGCCGCGUAGAUGAAGAAGGCCUUAGGGUUGUAAAGUACUUUCAGCGGGGAGGCGUUACCCGCAGAAGAAGCACCGGCUAACUCCGUGCCAGCAGCCGCGGUAAUAC